CAGAAACGGCGCAAACUGCAAGAGGUGAAUAUGUGGUCGGUUCCACUUUGUUCCCAGUCUUCGUGUCACAAUGAAAGCAGGAUUCAGUGCGUUUUCAACGGAUCUAUUUUUUGGUGUAAAAUAUUUCCCUCGUGUUUUCUUCUGAGCGAGGUCUGAGCAGAUGCCUCAUCACCAUAAUGCUCUUUAGCUGUUGUGGAUGUGAAAGGCUCCAAACUUGAGGUGGAAAUGGAUUCUCCGAAACGAGCUCAUGUGUCAUGAAGAGAAAAACGAGGACCAUCAUAUGACGGACGACGUGCGUCAGUGGCUCGGAGACGCGCAUCAGUCUGCAGAACAGAUGAUGUCCCACAAGAGAAAACCCUCUAUGUGUCAGCACACCAUGGCAAUCAGCAAGACGAGAUGCAGAUCACAGCCUGUGUGGCAGCAGGGAGUCUUCUCUAAGGAAGUACGCCCGUGAGGCUAAUACAGUUCAAACAAUAACUUAACAAAUGAAGACUAACAUACAAGAAUCAUCCGGAGUUCUUCAAUGUUUGUCCGGUUACCCUUUUCUCUCAUUCAGCAGGUAAGCCUAUGUAUUUGGAUAAAACACACGGUUCACUGUAUCACAUGAAUGCAUACGUCGUCUGAUGUACCACCAAACAAUCUUUUAUGAUGCUGGG